UUUGUUUUAUUUACAUAUUAAGUUUGCAACCGCCACGCGAACGUGACAAGUAACUAAAGUUUGUAGCACUUUUUGAAACAACGCCGAACUCCCGGUUAUGGCUACGGCGCGCGAUCUGAACCUUCUGCCGGGGAGGGAGCGCCUCUGUCGGUGUAGAUGUCAAAUUCAUGCCGGCGAGCCUGCGGCCAUUUUCUGCUGAGCAAACUGUACUGCUGGGCAUCUGCCUCUGCUGGCUUUAAACUUCAACUUGGCCUUCUGAGUCCCGUGGUUAACGCACACACACACACACCUUUUUUUCUUCGGCUGUCAGAGAACUAAUAACUUUCAUUACAGGAGAAAAGCCAAAUCGCCUGGUAGCUAUCUCAAUCGUUGCGCGUCUCAAUAGGGAAAAUAACACGCCGGCGUUUGUAAGCCUUUCCCACAAAACCGUACGUUUGGCCGAAAACCAGCGAGAAAAGGAGUAACCGGCUGGUAAGAGAGAGGAAGCGAAGGGGAAACCGAAACACGGCGCCUGUGUGUUGAUGAUGAUCUCAUUUGACUUUAAGAGUGCACAACUCGUGAUCUCCCUCGUCUUUUGGAGCAACGACACAAUAUUGAUGAAACUGAUUUGUUAACGUACCAUUUCGAAGCGAAACCGCCAACCUCCCCCCCAAAAAGUUACAGCUUAGAGGCUUUUGUAGUUCUGCAGUUCAACGCCUGGUCAUCUCGUCGGCUGCUUUUAUAACUCCGUAUCCAUUUAUCUUCGCAAAGAAGUAAUCCGUGCUCUUCGGAUGUGAGGAAUAAACCCGGACACUGACCGAAUGCGAAAACGUCCCACGCGAAGUCUUCGAGCCUCGUCCGAUCCGAAAUCCUCGUUACCAGAGAACGUUUUGGGGUACGUAUGCAACAGAAAGAGUGCCGCGUACAAGAAGGAUCAAAGCAUGAAGGGAAGGAGAGAUUGAGUGAGUGAAUGAGUGAGAACAUGUGUGAAACAUUUCUCAAACUGGGCUUGACAAACAAUCAAAGACCUUCAUUUGUGAUUAGUUAUUAGUAAAGGCUCAUAGCAAAUGUUAAUUGCCAAGUUAAUUUAAACAAAAGUGUGGGUGGCUAACGCAGUAAAGAGAGAAAAGGAGGGAGGACAGAGAGGAAGAAAGCAAGCGAGAGAAGGAUAAAGGGUGGGCAAUCACUUUUGUUAUAACAGAGACGAAACAGGGAACAGAAUCAAUCCAUUAUCGAUGAAUAAAUAAGCAAAACCGAAGACUUGAACACUGAGCAAACAAAGAGAAUUCCAACAGAAACUGGCUGAGAGAAGAAAAGAGCUCUCCAGAUCUGGAGAAGACAGUAAGAUAAGCUAAAACACAAAGCAUGUGAAAUAAAACACGUGGACGGAAUGGAGUUUAAACAACUUCAGGCGCUAAUAAUAAUGUGAGGAAAAACAAAAUCAGCCCAGAAGCAGGCUCAGACUGUACAGAUUUUGCCAUAAUUGAAAAUGAUAUUCAAAGCACUGUGAGGCAAAACAGCUCGAUUUAAUGCCACAUGUCAUUUUGGAAACAUUAAAACAAAGCGGUACGGACAGUUGUAUCAGAUAUGUAUUAAGUCAAAGCUAAGUGCUUCAAAAUCAAGAAAAAAAAUUGAUAACCUUUAAAUAAAAAAUGCCUCCGUCUUCCACAAUAAACAGAGAGAAUAUAAAGAAUGUAAAAAGGAGUCUUACAUUUUUAAAUAUUUAUUUUUAAUAUUGAAUUAUAUAUUUAAAAUGAAUUUAUUUAUUCAUAUUAAGUAAAAUUGCCGCUAAAAAUAAAAGUCAGUAAACUUGUUUCAAAGUCAAAAAAUAUCAGUAAAACGACAACAAAUGACAUCUAACUUCAGAAAAUAUGCUAAAGCAAAAUAAUGUCUUCGCUUCAUCCGAACAACAGCGCUCAGCUAUAUUACCAAAGUCAUCUGAGGUCACCUGCUCACCACACUACAAAUAACACACCAGACCCCUCAAACAACUACUGCACAGCCAAAUACGUCAUUACAGCUGUUCAAAAAAAGUUACAUGCGUGCGAAAGCCUCAACAAGUUGUACAUGAUAAAGCGCAAAGUUAGAAGUUUCUUUAAAGUAGGUUAAAUAUCUCCACUCACCAUCCACCAGGUCUUAGCUGUCAUAUCAUAACACAGCUGCCAUUUCACAGCGUUCUCUGCCGUGUUGCCACUCGUGUGUGUGAUGCUGGGGAGCUCCAUAAAGAGAGACGGAUACAGGAAGCGAGAGAGAGAGAGAAAAGGAGAUGUGGAUGUUUUCAAACCAGCCCCAAACUCAGCCAAACAGGAGAAACAAGAGGAACAGACGUGCAAAUCCUCCUCGGCUGCCUCUUUCUUGCUCUCAUCUUUACCUCCCUGUGUGGCACAGAGAGAGACUGGACAGUUUAGAGGGACAGAGAGAGAGAGAGCGUGAGGGUGAGACCUAAAGGAUUAAGAUUUCGACAACAGUUCCCACUCAAGAGUCCACACUCUCUGAGCAGACCAUCUGAGAGACACCCAGACCACACCACCACCACCACCACCACACCACCACCACCACGGGCUGCUAGACAGACCAGCUAAUGCCAGCUGUGUUAACAGUCGCACAUACCCUCAUAAGCGCACUCGCACAAAACCACACUUUUAUAAAGCACAUGUAUGAAGAAAGUGGGAGCUGAUGCCAAAAAUCCUAUGAGAAUACAUAGCGUGCCGCGUUCAAACGUGCUAUUUUCUUUCUAGCGCAGCAGGGCGCUCACACACCCACUUCAACAACACAAAGUCAAUCCUACGUCGAGACCUGACCACGAUGAUGUCAUCCAGCAUCACUUUUUUCCUUUUGACCUUGUUAAAUCACAAAUUUCCUAUUUGUGCUGCUGUAUAUUGAGGGAUUGAAGAAGCCUAGGCUUCGUACAGUAGUGUAUUAAGACCACCAGGGUAGAAACUGAUUCUGUCUUCUUCAUUACCUUUCGAGUCACACAGAGCUGAAUAGAAAAUAAUAGUUUAUGGGAGAAGAAAUUUUUUUUUUUUUUUUACUGAGAGAAUGUGGAAAUUAAAUGUGUUUUUUUUUUUUUUUUUUUUCCCACCACCUCCAUCAACCACAUAGCAAGGAGAAGUCCAGCCCUUGCUUGGCCGCAGGAGUGCUGAGUGAGUGUGGGGGAUAUGUGGGCAGUGUUUGUUUGGCUUACUUGCUUUUUCUUUUCCUUUUUUCAUGUUGGAAAUUUUUGUUUUUAUCAUGCAUCAAAGGACUAAGUGUCAAAAGUCUCCUCACAGCUCCCCACACACUUCACAUCGCAGAUCCAAAACACUGUUGAGAUUAAAAAUAUGAAUACGAUUAUUUUUAUGACAGUACGUGCCACUGAAAUAAAAUAUUACGGUAUAAGUCAAAAUGCAGUGCAAGAAUUCCUUCAAUUCAAAUUAAGAGAUGUUUAGAAGGUGGAGAGAAAACAACAAAUUUGAGCCACAUAAUUGAAUAUUUCAUACAUUUGGUUGUAAGUACUUAAAAAAAUUAUUAAGAUUGUCUCACUGACCGUUGGAAGCAAAGCGGCCUGGCUCUGAUUGGAAGCAGCUCAAAAGGUGUGUCGUAAUCAGAAACAGAAUUGGACGUUCAUUUAUCGUCGGCGACUGGACAACACCAUCCGAAGUAUCCAUCCACCAUCAUGAGAACGGAUAUGGCCAUCUGUAACUUAAAAGGUAGUAAACUAUUAGUGUUUAGUGGAACAUAGCCUUUUCAGUGUGUCACGCUUCCUCCAACUCAAACACAGCUUUUAUGCGCCUAUACAGAUAAUUUAACCUGCUUAUUAGUUUACCUGUCAAAAAGAAACUCUGGAAAUUGUCAUAUGGAGUGAAACAUCUCGUAAAAUUUCCAGAAAUUGUUGUAUGGAGUGAAACCGCUCAUAAAAUUCUUCCAUCUGUCAGUGUUUACCCUUGUUUUACCCUGUUGUCUGUCUCAGUCAUUGUAUAUUUGCUUGCAGUUUAUGUGAAUUUCUUUGUCCACACCCACUCAACACCCCCUGGCUCAGCCGUCGCAGUAGCCACACCCCAAACUCUCGCUAUUGGAUGCACGGAGGUAUGCAAAUACAUUGAUUGACUAGCAGAUCUACAUGAGAUCACCUGAUAGAAGGCAGUCUCAACGAGCCAGUGUUUCCACAGGAGCAGGGGUCCGGAGAACUGGGAAGAGCCGGGGAUGGAAGUCUGGGAUUUCCCAGUCUCUUCACUCUCCUGAGGCUGGACUCCUUCCUCCUUAGUGCCCAGGUGAAAGAUGACAGAGAAUCCAUACCAUUUUAUAAUAUUUUCCAUGGAAGGACAGGUUUGGAGCAACACAAUUUUUAUUUUGGGGUGGACAAUCCCUUUGGCUCCGAUUACUCACUCUGAAUGUGGGAACAUCAACCCAGCCCAGACUCUGGGAAAUC